AUGAGCGUGCUGAGCGGCCUGGCCUCCGAGCCGGGCACCACGCUGUCCAGCAAGGCCAGGAUGAAAAGGCUCCCAAAGAAAAGCCAGAACGAGAAGUACCUACCGGCUGAAGUACCUGCGGCUGCGCAGAGCUGCUAAGGCCACGGUGUUUGAAAAUGCUUCUAUCUGUGAUGAAAUUGCUCGUCUUGAGGAAAAUUUUCUUAAAGCAAAAGAAGAAAGAAGAUACUUGCUGAAGAAGCUCCUCCAGAUUCAUGCUCUAACUGAAGGGGAAUCCCAGGCUGCCACUCCUUCUCACAGCAGCUCCAGUUUGCCCCUGGCUUACGGCAGCGUCGCCAGCUCUUCAGGAACUAUCCAGGGAGCUGGGCCCAGCACUGGGGCUGAGGAGCCAUUUACGAAGAAAUCCAAGGAGAAGAAGGAAAAGGGCAAAGAGAACAGCAAACUGGAAGCUCUGAAGAAAACAUCCAAGAAAAAGAAAAUGGAGGGAGGUGCUCGCAAGCUGGUUCGGCCCAUUGCCCUGGAUCCCUCAGGACAGCCUGUGUUCCCCAUCGGACUAGGGGGUCUGACAGUUUAUAGCCUAGGGGAGAUCAUCACCAACCGACCUGGCUUCCAUGAUGAGAAUGCCAUUUAUCCUGUGGGCUACUGUAGUACCCGAGUGUAUGCCAGCAUGAAGUGCCCAGACCAGAAGAGUCUGUAUACCUGCCAGAUCAAGGACGGUGGUGUGCAGCCUCAGUUUGAAAUUGUUCCUGAAGAUGACCCCCAGAGUACCAUCGUAGGCUCCUCUGCCGAUGCCUGUUAUGAAGAACUGCUCAGAGCCAUCAGUGCCACAACAGAGAAACUGAUGCCUAACCCACUUUCAUGUGGUGCCGACUUCUUUGGGUUUUCCCAUCCAACCAUCCACAGCCUGAUUCAGAGCUGUCCAGAAGCUCAAAACUGUGUCAAUUACCAGUGGGUGAAAUUUGAUGCGUGCAAACCCAGGAAGGGGCAGCUCUCUCAGGAACUGCCAGAGAAUGAUGCAACUAUAAGCCUUGACGCCUUUCAGACGCAGACGUUUGAUGACGACCAUGAUGAUUCCAUCUGCCAGGCUCCCUGGACCUACCUGAGCUUCAGCAUGACGCCUUUGUGUCAUCUUACCAACCAGAGUUCCUGACACAUGAACCCCUGGUUGACACUGACCUGCAGCACCUGAAAUCUCCAUCACAGUGUAGCCCAAUUCAGUCUUCAGAUUGACCAGGAAGGGUGGAGCCCACUUCCUUCUCCUCAGGAGUUUUAAACUAAAACUCACUCUGGAAGAAGG